GGCGCACGGUGGCUUAGUGGUUAGCACGAUCGCCUCACACCUCCAGGGUGGGUCGGGGGUUCGAUUCCCACCGUGGCCC